AUUAAAAUAGCUUAAAGACAAAGCCUAGCGUUGAAAAUGCUAUCAUAUAGGUUAAACCCCUCUUUUUAAUA
rnacentral:tRNA from 1 species